AGGAAGGUUGUAUUUUUCUUUUUUUAUAGAAAUAUUUUAAUCUCUAGAAUCAUCUAUAAUUCUCCACUCUUUCAAUGAAAAUAAAUAAAUAUCUCAUUUGCAUCAGAUUUCUUAGAUUUUCAAGACUAAAGGAUUAAACCAUUGGGUGUUUUCAGUACUGAUAAUUUACAUGUUAAGAUCAAUUAGGGAAUUGCAGAGCGAGUAUAUUUCCGUCAGUAGAAGAGACUAAUUAUUUGGCUAAUUUUGGAUUUUCAUUUGAGUCUUGGCAUUUGUCUAAGGAUUGUUUCUAUAUUGGUUUUGGGUUAGACCAAGUUCCAUUUUAAGCUAUUUAUUUAUUUACUUUAGUUCUUUUAAUUUCUCAUCUGUUGUGAGCUUCUCCAGUGCUGUGAGCUUCUCCAGUGCUGUGUCUAAAAUUGAUUCUUAUAUUCUUAUUAUUAUUGCAAAGUCCUUGGUCCUUCUCCUUGACAAGAAAAACUAAAAUUAUAUUAUAUA